CUUGUUGCAAAUAAAAAUGACAAACGAAAAUGCUGCCUCUUCUUCUUCCUGUUCGGCAAAAUCUGGAAUUCAUGAAUGAACAACACACACACACAGACACAUCGCUCUCUUUUGCGAUUUGUAUGCGUAUGUGUGUGAGUGCGACGAUCCCGUCGGCUUCUAAAUCGAUUUAUCAAAAACAAAACAAAAAAAGAAGCGAAGAAGACGAAGGCAAAGAGAUAAAAAUUGAAUAAAAAAAGAACCCAACAAAUAAAAAAAAAAACAGGAAAUUCCUCAACUAUGAAGGCAGACACGCUCAUUUAGCCUAUGACUAAACCAUAAGUGGAAAAAAUAUAGUGCAUGAACAUGAUCUGGCAUUGGCGCCCGUGCGUCUGAAUAUGGAAAUCGAAAUGGGUACGGUAUGGUGUGCUAUAUGGAAUGGGAUAUGGGAUAAGACACUUGAGUUUUGGGCCUGGUUUAUCUUCAGCUUAGAGGAAUCCACUCGAAGGGGCGCUCGUCAGCACUUGAGAAAAGGAGAAGCAGGCAGACUGCAUGGAUAUUAACUAAUUGUCGGCCACAAAAACGCAGGGAAGCGCUCGACAUGCCAUUUAACACAUUUGCACGCUCCAAAACUAUUUCCUUUUCGAAUUUACUCUGUACUCAAUAAUAUUCUUAAAAGUGAGAGGCGAUAUUUUAAAAUUAAAUUGGCUUUGUAGCUUAAAAUAUGUUUUUUUGCAUUU